rnacentral:rRNA from 1 species
UACGGGGGGGGGCUAGCGUUGUUCGGAAUUACUGGGCGUAAAGGGCGCGUAGGCGGCCUACUAAGUCGGACGUGAAAUCCCUCGGCUCAACCGGGGAACUGCGUCCGAUACUGGUGGGCUCGAAUCCGGGAGAGGGAUGUGGAAUUCCAGGUGUAGCGGUGAAAUGCGUAGAUAUCUGGAGGAACACCGGUGGCGAAGGCGGCAUCCUGGACCGGUAUUGACGCUGAUGCGCGAAAGCCAGGGGAGCAAACGGG